GACGAACGCUGGCGGCGUGCCUAAUACAUGCAAGUCGAACGCAGUGGGGACGGGUGAGUAACACGUGGGUAACCUCCCAUCAGAGGGGAUAACACUUGGAAACAGGUGCUAAACCGAUAUGGAUGGAUGGACCCGCGGUGCAUUAGCUAGUUGGUGAGGUAACGGCUCACCAAGGCCACGAUGCAUAGCGGACCUGAGAGGUGGACCGGCCAGACGGGAACUGAGACACGGCCCAUACGCCUACGUGAGGCAGCAGUAGGGAAUAUUCGACAAUGGACGCAAGUCGGAGCCAGCAAUGCCGCGUGAGUGAAGAAGGUUGUCGGAUUGUAAAGCUCGGUUGUUGGGGAAGCGGUACCUGCCGAAAAAGCCCCGGCUAACUCCGUGCCAGCAGCCGCGGUAAUAC
rnacentral:rRNA from 1 species